rnacentral:rRNA from 1 species
UACGGAGGAUCCGAGCGUUAUCCGGAUUUAUUGGGUUUAAAGGGUGCUCAGGCGGGCCAUUAAGUCGGCGGUGAAAUUUUGCGGCUCACCCGUAAAAGUGCCUUCGAUACUGGUGGUCUUGAGUGUGGAUGAGGUAGGCGGAAUUUGUGGUGUAGCGGUGAAAUGCAUAGAUAUCACGAGGAACUCCGAUUGCUAAGGCAGCUUACUAAGCCAUAACUGACGCUCAAGCACGAAGGCGUGGGGAUCAAACAGGAUUAGAUACCCUGGUA